ensembl:lncRNA
AUGGGAGUUUGCCUGACCACCAACCCAGUGGCCUGGAGACUAGCAACUGGAGUUCAUUACAAAACACCUAAGGGGCCCCGGGCCAGGGGCGACACACGGCCGUUGUUGGAGACCACCCUGGGGACAGCAUUGGUGACAGGGGCCUCCUGCUGAGCCAGGACUGCCCCAGAAGCCUGCUCAGGUGCUGUCCACUCCCCCUGGCCUGGGGCCCUCACCCGGAGCUCCCCCUCUGAGGUGGCAAGACACACAACUCACACGCAGAGAAUCCAUCACUCUCGAAUCUCUUUACUCCAGGGCAUAAUUGCUCUUUCAGGUCAGUUGGAUAUCUAGGGGGAGGGGGAAGAUGGAAAACAUGGAACAUUAAGGGAGGUGGGGACUGGAGGAGCCUCAGAUUAGGUGGGGGUGGGGGCGCUGGUAACUCAGGGUGUUUUUCUUUCUUUCUUUCUCUCUAACAGAAAAUUCCAUUGUCAGAUCCCCAGCAGCACAGAGGGUCUGUGUCCCGGCUUUCCCGACCCCCAUGUCAGUCCCGGCCCCGCCCGGUGGCCCUCGGAGGACAAGUUCAGGAUGCGUGUGAAGCCCCAGGGCCUGGUGGUGACCUCCAGUGCCGUGUGCAGCUCGCCCGACUACCUCCGGGAGCCCAACCUGGCCAACAGCAUCAGAAGCCCGGAGGAGCGGAAUACCACCCAUGGCAAGGCUGAGAGACCCGGGCGAGCCCUCUAUGAGGCAGAGCCUGAGCAGAGGGGCAGCCCUGAGCCAGGCCAGGGCACGAGCCCCGGAGCCGCCACCGGCCUCCCCCAGGAACCAGAGCCCGACGCUCCCGACUACUCCGAGCUGGCCGACGCAGACAUCCUCAGCGAGCUGGCCUCCCUUGCUUGCCCUGAGGCGCAGCUGCUGGAGGCCCAGGCCCUGGAGCCUCCGUCCCCAGAGCCCGAACCUCAGCUCCUUGACCAGCAGCCCCGCUUCCUGGAUCCCCAGGUGCUGGAACCUCUCGGGGAAGCGCUCGAGUUGCCGCCUCUCCAACCACUGGCUGACCCCCUGGGGUUGCCUGGCCUAGCCCUGCAGGCCCUGGAGACAUUGCCAGAUGCCCUCGAGUCUCAGCUGCUUGACCCCCAGAGCCUCGACCCUCUGCCUAAGCUGCUUGAGGCCCCAAGCCACCACCUGGAAACGCAGCCACCCCUGGCCAGCUGUCCACUGACUGAGCCCCUGCGGCUGGACCUGUGCCCUCCCCGAGGGCCUCUGGGGACUGAGGGCCACCCCAAGUACGCCCUGCGGCGGACUGAUAAGCCAAAGAUUUUGUGCCGCCGCCGCAAGGCGGGCCGGGGCAGGAAGGCAGAUGCCUGUCCUGAAGGUCGCCUCCUGCCCCUCCCCAUGCCUGCGGGCCUGGUGGCCGCCUUGGCAGAACCUGUGCCACCCCCACCGACCAUUGUCCCGGUCCCUACCCCAGAGCCGGAUACUGGGGCCCCUCGCCCCCUCGUGCCCACCCGGAAGGGCAAGUGCCGGGGAGUGCGCCGGAUGGUGGUGAAGAUGGCCAAAAUCCCCGUGUCCCUGGGGCGGCGGAACAAGACCACGUACAAGGUGUCGUCCCUGAGCAGCAGCCUGAACGUGGAGGGCAAGGAGCUGGGGGUGCGGGUGUCGGCCGAGCCCACCCCGCUCCUGAAGAUGAAGAACAAUGGGCGCAACGUGGUCGUGGUGUUCCCGCCGGGCGAGAUGCCCAUCAUCCUGAAGCGCAAGAGGGGCCGUCCCCCCAAGAACCUCCUGCUGGGCCCGGGGAAGCCCAAGGAACCUACUCCGGAGGUGAAGAAGCGGCGGAGGCGGAAGCAGAAGCUGGCCUCGCCCCAGCCCUCCUACGCGGCCGACGCCAACGACAGCAAGGCCGACUACUCGGACGUGCUGGCCAAGCUGGCCUUCCUGAACCGCCAGAGCCAGUGUGCAGGCCGCUGCUCCCCACCCCGCUGCUGGACCCCCAGCGAGCCGGAGUCGGUGCACCAGGCUCCCGACACGCAGAGCAUCUCCCACUUCUUACACCGCGUGCAAGGCUUCCGCCGGCGGGGUGGGAAGGCGGGGGGCUUUGGUGGGCGGGGGGGUGGCCAUGCCGCCAAAGCUGCCCGCUGCUCCUUCAGUGACUUCUUUGAGGGCAUCGGGAAGAAAAAGAAGGUGGUGGCAGCCCCCGGGGUAGGGGCUAUGGGCCAUGCCGAGCUAGGCCACCCCCGCAAGAGGGGCCGGGUAGAAGUGGACGCGGGAGGGAAGCCCAAGAGGAAAAGGCGAGCACGCAAGAAUGGGACGCUGUUCCCAGAACAGACCCCUGGGGGUCAAAACUUUGGGGACGGGGGUGCUGAGUGGACCGGGGAGAAGGGCAACACCUGGGCUCCCCACCACGGACACCCCGGGGGCCAGGCUGGGCGAAACUGUAGUUACCAGGGGGCCGAAGCCCGGGCCUUUGCACCGUCCGGCCUAGAGAGCGGUGCCUCUGGCCGGGGCGGCUACUACGGGACGGGUACACCCUCGGCCCAGGCAGAGCUCAGCCAGGAACGCCACAGCCUCUUCACGGGCUAUUUCCGUUCUCUGCUGGACUCAGAUGACUCCUCAGACCUGCUGGACUUUGCCCUUUCGGCUUCUCGGCCCGAGUCACGCAAGUCGUCAGGCACCUAUACGGGGCCCCCCACCAGUGCCCUGCCUGCUCAAGGCAGGGGCCUGGCUGCCUUCCCUAGCCGGGGGGCCAAGGCCAACCCAGCAGUUGGUGGGGGUGGGACCGGGACAGAACCGUCCUUCCAGCCAGUCCUGCCUGCCCGCCAGGCUUUCCCUCCAGGGAGGGCAGCAGCGGGCUAUGGGGUGACCCCAGCUACGUCAGACUGUCGGGCCACAGAGGCCUUUCCAAAGUUGGCGCCACCCUCAGCUGUGGCUCGCUCACCCACUGCCCACCCACCAGCGGGCACCUACCCCCAGUACAGCAGUUAUGGGGCGGGCCAAGGAGUGUUCCCACCAGGGAAGCCCUUUUCGGGGCAAGACUGUGCCAACAGCAAGGACUGCAGCUUUGCCUAUGGCAGCGGUAGCAGUCUGCCAGCCUCACCCAGUAGCGCCCACAGCGCUGGCUAUGCCCAGCCCACAGCAGGCCCCUGCCUGCCCUUGGGCAAAGCCUCCUUCUUUAACAGCUCCGAGGCGGCUCCUUUCUCCGGCUCGGCCCCCACGCCACUCCGCUGUGACAGCCGGGCCAGCACUGUCUCGCCUGGGGGGUACAUGGUGCCCAAGAGCACCGCCACCCCCGCUGCCUCCUCCUUCCAGCCCUCACCCGAGAAUUGUCGGCAGUUCGCGGGAGGGUCACAGUGGCCUUUCCGGCAGGGCUACGGAGGCCUGGAUUGGACCUCGGAGGCCUUCAGCCAGCUCUAUAACCCCGGCUUCGACUGUCACAUCAACGAGCCCAACGUGAUCCUGGACAUCUCCAACUACACCCCACAGAAGGCCAAGCAGCAGACCACUGUGUCUGAGACCUUCUCCGAGUCAUCCUCCGACAGCACCCAGUUCAACCAGCCCACAGGUGGCUACCGACGGGCCAGCAGCGAGGCCUCCUCCAGUGAGGGCCAGUCCAGCCUCUCGAGCCUGGAGAAGCUGAUGAUGGAUUGGAACGAGGCGUCGUCUGCCCCCGGCUACAACUGGAACCAGACCGUCCUUUUCCAGAGUAGCUCCAAGCCUGGCCGUGGCCGGCGGAAGAAGGUGGACCUGUUCGAGGUCUCUCACUUGGGUUUUUCCUCUUCGUCCUCUUCGUCCCCGGCCACAGCCUCCUCAGCCUAUCCUUCCAAGCGGAGCGCUGGACCAAGGCAGCCCCGGGGUGCCCGGGGCGGGGGGGCCUGCUCGGGGAAGAAGGAGCGGGGGAGCGGGGCUAAGGCCAAGUUCAUCCCCAAGCCACAGCCGGUCAACCCCCUGUUCCAGGACAGCCCAGACCUGGGCUUGGACUACUAUAGUGGAGACAGUAGUAUGUCGCCUUUGCCCUCACAGUCUCGGGCCUUCGGGGUGGGUGAGAGGGAUCAGUGUGACUACAUUGGGCCCUACUCUAUGAACCCAUCCACACCAUCGGAUGGCACCUUUGGGCAAGGGUUCCAUUGCGACUCGCCCAGCCUGGGCCCUCCCCCGGACUUGGACAGCAAACAUUUCCCCGGCCUCGCCCACCCCCUGGGCACGCCGGGCCCACAGACAGUGUUUGAUUCAGGCCUCCAGAAGGCCUAUUCCCCCAACUGCUCGCCGACGCUGGCCUUCAAAGAGGACCUGCGGCCGGCCAAGCUGCCUGCCUGUGAGCCGCUUAAGCAUGGCCUUCAGGGCACUGGUCUUGGCCACGCCCCCCACCUGAGCUGCCGGGACCUGCCCCUUGGCCAGACCCAUUACGACUCACCCAGCUGCAAAGGCGCCAGCUAUUGGUACCCACCGGGCUCGACUGCGCGCAGCCCACCGUACGAGGGCAAGGCUGGGUCAGGGCUGCUGGCUGACUUCCUGGGCAGGACGGAGGCCUCCUGCCUCAAUGCCCCGCACCUCACCAGCCCCCCAGCCACGCCCAAGGGGGACAAGGAACCACUGGAGAUGGUGCGGCCACCUGGUCCCCCCCGAGGUGGCUAUGGCUGCCCACUCCUAAGUGACUUGACCCUGUCACCUGUGCCGAGGGACUCCAUGCUGCAGUUACAGGACACAUACAGGUACCCCGGCUUUGUGCCGCAGGGCCACCCUGGCCUGGGGGGGGCCCCGAAGAGCAGCUUCCUGGGGCCUAUGGGGGAGCCACACCCUGAGGACACUUUCACCGUCACCUCCCUGUAGUGCCAACUGAAGUGCCAACUGGACAAUGAGGUUUUCUAACAGGCUUUCAGAAACCAACGCCAAGAUCCCUCCCAUCGUCCCCCACCUCCCGCAGGAGCAACUCACCUCCUCUGCCUCCCCUCCCAACUGCUCCCCACCCUGGAACCCCAAAGCCCACUCCUCCUUUUCCAUCGCCUACCCUGGACCCUGGGAACCCCUCCCCCUCCCACACACACCCCCCUCCACGCAGAAGCGGAAGGUGAGCUCUUUCUGCACAAAACCAGCAAUUGUAAAUACUUUUUAAAAAUGUACAAAACAAAACAGAACACAGUUUUAGACAAAAAAAAGACAAAAAAAAGAGCGAGCGAGAGAUUGUGAGCGAGCGAGAGAUUGCGAGCGAGAGAGGCCGUGCCCGAGCAGCUCCUCCAGUAUGCACUGAGAAAUUUAUUUACAGGUCGUUAGAGAGAAAGGAACAAUACCCUAUUUAUUGUAUAUACUGUUUUAUUAUAAAUUGUGGAUUGCAUAUUGCACCCUGUACAUCUGCUGUGGUUCCGUGGUGUGCAAAUACGCAUGGUGGGGGGUGGGGGGACAGUUCUCUAGGGACAGCUUUUCUUUCUGGUUUUUUCACUCCUUUUGGGUUGUUUUCUUUUUUCUGUUGUUGUUGUUGUUUUCUGUUGGCAGGACACACCCAAAGAUCCAAAUUUGUAUUAAAAAAAAUUAAAUGGAAAAAGCAAAAAAAAAAG